rnacentral:rRNA from 1 species
AGUGAACGCUGGCGGUAGGCCUAACACAUGCAAGUCGAACGGCAGCACAGUAAGAGCUUGCUCUUACGGGUGGCGAGUGGCGGACGGGUGAGGAAUACAUCGGAAUCUACUUUUUCGUGGGGGAUAACGUAGGGAAACUUACGCUAAUACCGCAUACGACCUACGGGUGAAAGCAGGGGAUCUUCGGACCUUGCGCGAUUGAAUGAGCCGAUGUCGGAUUAGCUAGUUGGCGGGGUAAAGGCCCACUAAGGCGACGAUCCGUGGCUGGUCUGAGAGGAUGAUCAGCCACACUGGAACUGAGACACGGUCCAGACUCCUACGGGAGGCAGCAGUGGGGAAUAUUGGACAAUGGGCGCAAGCCUGAUCCAGCCAUACCGCGUGGGUGAAGAAGGCCUUCGGGUUGUAAAGCCCUUUUGUUGGGAAAGAAAAGCAGCAGGUGAAUACCCCGCUGUUCUGACGGUACCCAAAGAAUAAGCACCGGCUAACUUCGUG